AGGCCACUAGCUCAACUGGCAGAGCACUGGAUUCCAAAUCCGGCGGUUCAGGGUUCGAUUCCUUGGUGGCCUGCCA
rnacentral:tRNA from 1 species